rnacentral:rRNA from 1 species
GACGAACGCUGGCGGCGUGCUUAACACAUGCAAGUCGAACGGAAAGGCCCUGCUUUUGUGGGGUGCUCGAGUGGCGAACGGGUGAGUAACACGUGAGUAACCUGCCCUUGACUUUGGGAUAACUUCAGGAAACUGGGGCUAAUACCGGAUAGGAGCUCCUGCUGCAUGGUGGGGGUUGGAAAGUUUCGGCGGUUGGGGAUGGACUCGCGGCUUAUCAGCUUGUUGGUGGGGUAGUGGCUUACCAAGGCUUUGACGGGUAGCCGGCCUGAGAGGGUGACCGGCCACAUUGGGACUGAGCUACGGCCCAGACUCCUACGGGAGGCAGCAGUGGGGAAUAUUGCACAAUGGGCGGAAGCCUGAUGCAGCAACGCCGCGUGCGGGAUGACGGCAUUCGGGUUGUAAACCGCUUUCGCCUGUGACGAAGCGUGAGUGACGGUAAUGGGUAAAGAAGCACCGGCUAACUACGUG